rnacentral:misc_RNA from 1 species
GAUGAAGAACGCAGCGAAAUGCGAUAACUAAUGUGAAUUGCAGAAUUCCGUGAAUCAUCGAGUCUUUGAACGCACAUUGCGCCCCUUGGUAUCCCGAGGGGCAUGCCUGUUCGAGCGUCAUUUCACCACUCAAGCCUGGCUUGGUGUUGGGCGACGUCCCCUUUGGGGACGCGCCUCGAAACGCUCGGCGGCGUGGCACCGGCUUUAAGCGUAGCAGAAUCUUUCGCUUUGGAAGUCGGGGCCCCGUCUGCCGGAAGACCUACUCGCAAGGUUGACCUCGGAUCAGGCAGGGAUACCCGCUGAACUUAAGCAUAUCAAUAAGCGGAGGA